AGAGUUUGAUCCUGGCUCAGAUUGAACGCUGGCGGCAUGCUUUACACAUGCAAGUCGAACGGCAGCACAGGGAGCUUGCUCCCGGGUGGCGAGUGGCGCACGGGUGAGUAAUACAUCGGAACGUGUCCUGUUGUGGGGGAUAACUGCUCGAAAGGGUGGCUAAUACCGCAUGAGACCUGAGGGUGAAAGCGGGGGAUCGCAAGACCUCGCGCAAUUGGAGCGGCCGAUGCCCGAUUAGCUAGUUGGUGAGGUAAAGGCUCACCAAGGCGACGAUCGGUAGCUGGUCUGAGAGGACGACCAGCCACACUGGGACUGAGACACGGCCCAGACUCCUACGGGAGGCAGCAGUGGGGAAUUUUGGACAAUGGGGGCAACCCUGAUCCAGCCAUGCCGCGUGCAGGAUGAAGGCCUUCGGGUUGUAAACUGCUUUUGUCAGGGACGAAAAGGACCGUGUUAAUACCAUGGUCUGCUGACGGUACCUGAAGAAUAAGCACCGGCUAACUACGUGCCAGCAGCCGCGGU
rnacentral:rRNA from 1 species